CUAAAUCAUAUGACACUGCUUAAAAGAACUGUCAUACAAAAAUGUCACUCGUAUAUUUUAAAUACUUGUAUUGACGAUAAUUGCACACGAUGAUAUUUCAAAAUUCACAAUGUAAAAAAAGCUGAUACUUAAAAUGUGGAAUAUGACAAGAGAGGAAAAAAUCGUCACGUGCCCAAACUGCCUCACCCCAGCUAGGACGAAGGUCGUGUACGUAUCGAAAAAAGUAACCUACCCUAACUGUUUGAUUUCGAUUUUGCAAUUUUGCCUGUUUCCCGUUUGUAUGAAGAAAAUUUGCAAAGCUAAACACGUCUGUAGGGCCUGCGGCGCUCUUUUGGCCAUCGUAUCCUACUGAGAUAUGGAAAUGGACUUGAGCCAUUUUAAUACAACGAAGAAGAAUGGAAGCUAAAAAGCACAUAUAUUUUCUAAGUAGGUUGAAAUGUUUAUCUAAGCUGGACUGAAGUUUAUUUAUGUAAGAGAAAAUAUCAAGGAAAUAUUUAAUAAUAAA